rnacentral:misc_RNA from 1 species
AAAGUAUAUUGAUGUUCUGAGAACUUCUCUGUUUAGUGAGGCUGAUAGUAUUUCCACAAAUCCAUUUACAAUUGUUGGUUUGGAUAAAUAUGAAUGAACCCCAGGGUCACCCUUUGAGUCCUUCCAUAAUUUUGCUAUUGCUAAAACUGCUGCUUCGCAUUCUCGUAAGUUUUCUGAAGUGCAGAGACAUGAAAUAUGUGGUUUUAACCCAUUGAUUAUUGUUUCAAUAGUGGCUUGGGAAAUUACACUGGUUGGUGAUGUAGACACUGCCGAUUGUACAAAUCUUUUG